GGGGAUUUAGCUCAGCGGCAUAAGCACCUGCCUUGCAAGCAGGCAGUCGUGAGUCGUGAGUUCAAUCCCUG
rfam:Cavia porcellus supercont2_29 genomic scaffold, whole genome shotgun sequence.